rnacentral:lncRNA from 1 species
UAAUGGAAAAACUUCAAAAAAAAAAAAAAACCCAUGUGGUUUCGUAGUUUUUUACUUUGCCCCUCUGUGGCUUAAAAUGUAUCGAAUCACCUCUCUGUGGUUUCGUUUUUAUCCUUUCGGUACCUUUUUCGUUAAUAUUUCAUUAAAUUAUAUACAAAAAACUUCAGAUACCCAUCUAGAUUUAUCAAAUAUUCACUUUAAUACUCUUUAAUUUUAACUUUAUCACUGAUUUAAGAAAAAAAAAUAAUGAAAUUGAUAAGAAAAAGAGAGAAAAGAAACCACAGGGGGACAAAUUGAUACAUUUUAAACCACAGGAGGGCAAAGUGAGAAACUACGAAACCACGGAGGGGGUUUUUGAAGUUUUCCCUAUAAUAAUUAGCAACAGAAUUAAUUUCAUAUAGGUCGCUGCAAAUAUAUUAAAUGACAAAUAUAUUCCUAUAAAGUUCAACUUGUAUAUGUUGUAUCUACAAAAGUCAUGAUAUUUUCAAAUAUGUCCUUGUCAUUUGAAUCUGUUGAAAAAAUUUAAUCUAUCAUAGAUUAAAUACUUAACUCUAGUUAGUAUUUUAUAUUUUUACACCUCUUAUAUUACACUGCUACGACUUUUGAAAUGACAUAUUUAUGAUGGCAAAAUUAAAAAUAUAAAUAGUUCUCUGACGGUUCUUUAACGGUAACAAACUAUAGGAACAUAAUUGAAAAUAUCGAGACUUUUGUAGAGACAAUAUGUAAAAGUUGAACUUUAUAGGGAUAUAUUUCUUAUUCACUGUGUUUGGAGAGAUACGUAUGAAAUUAACCUUUAAAAAAAAAAAUACAUAUAUGUAUAUACAAAGAUGUAAUCUGUAACUCAAAAAAUUAUUAAGUUCCCUGAAUGCCACGGGCAUGUAACUAUCAUGUAACAGUAAAUAACAUAUAUAAUAAUAAAAAUGUAUAAAACUCACCUGGACUACGGGCAAUUUUAGCGUUAUUUUUCUUUAGUUACAGAUUUAGCUAGUAUACUUCAUGCAAUUUUCGAAACUAUGAAUUUACUAAAUGAAUAGUUGAUUUAAAUUUUUUAAGUUAAAAUAUCGUUGAUUGGCGUAAAUAAAUUAAAUUGAAAGAUUCGUUAAUAAAAUCAAAUUCUUAAAAGUGGGGUAAC